CAGACUCGUAGCAUAUAGCUCAGUAACACGUGGCCAAACUACCCUACAGACCGCGAUAACCUCGGGAAACUGAGGCCAAUAGCGGAUAUAACUCUCAGGCUGGAGUGCCGAGAGUUAGAAACGUUCCGGCGCUGUAGGAUGUGGCUGCGGCCGAUUAGGUAGAUGGUGGGGUAACGGCCCACCAUGCCGAUAAUCGGUACAGGUUGUGAGAGCAAGAGCCUGGAGACGGUAUCUGAGACAAGAUACCGGGCCCUACGGGGCGCAGCAGGCGCGAAACCUUUACACUGCACGACAGUGCGAUAGGGGGACUCCGAGUGUGAGGGCAUAUAGCCCUCGCUUUUCUGAACCGUAAGGUGGUACAGGAACAAGGACUGGGCAAGACCGGUGCCAGCCGCCGCGGUAAUACCGGCAGUCCAAGUGAUGGCCGAUAUUAUUGGGCCUAAAGCGUCCGUAGCUUGCUGUGUAAGUCCAUUGGGAAAUCGACCAGCUCAACUGGUCGGCGUCCGGUGG
rnacentral:rRNA from 1 species